GAUAAGUUGCAAAUACUGAAAUUCGAUAAACAGUGGUAUGUUAUGGUGGAGGACCAUGAGAUGUGUCAGACCGAAGUCCAAAUCAACUGAUAGUUUGGUGAUACAGCAUUUGUCCAUCGUAAGACACUUUUGUUCCAGUAUCGAACCAUAUUUGUCCAGCAUCGAUAAUGACUAGAAAUGCUCUUGUUGGUCAAUCUGCACGGUUUGUCGAGGUGACACAUAGAACAUUUUUCCAAACUAUGAAGAAAAGGCUCAGGAAGUUGUUCUUCAGUUGUUGUAUUAAGCGAAGAAAGGACUGUG